AAAUCCAGAGAAGUCUGAACUCUUUAUCUUAAUGUACUCUAAUAGUAUUUCUAUUUGCUGUCUCUUGGAAGUAUCUGGGAAUAUCUGAAUUAGGAAAACAUUCUUUUGCCAUAAGGUGAUGUCUUGGGUGUUGUUGGUGAUUAGGUGGUCUUACUUAGUGAUCCUACUCUAAUUUUAGAUAAACAGGACAGACAACUUCUGCUUGGGUCUUUAACACCCAUUCAACAUACCCGCUUUUUUAAAUUGCUGUAAUUUUUGGUUUGUCUGGUUUUGUUUUUGUUUUUUUAUUUAAUAAUGGACAGAACAAGUGGAGGACCUUGGUUCUGAGUCAUUACUGUGGUGUAAUCAUGGACAUUUCAGGUCAAGUUAUUUCCUUGACAGAUAGCUUCUCUCAUGAGGCUGUUUAGUUCACUUAUUAUUUCAAAUUUUUAAAAAGUGAUCUGAUUAAAGCUGUGUGGCAUGGUGAGAAUUCUUCCUCCCUCUUUCUCUUUGUUUCCUUUCCUUCCUCCCUUCAUUCCUUUCCAUUCCUACUUAUUAAUGCUAUCCUGCUUGGACUUUUUAUAAAUAAAUCAACAUAUUAUGAUCCUUACAGAAUUAUGAUCAUAUAAGGGAAGAAUUGUAUCACAAAAUAUAUGCAGCAUCCAUAAAUCCUUUUAAAAGAGCAUAUUUUCCAGAUUGUGUUUAUUCAUAAAGUGAGGUGAGAUAAUAGAGUCUUUCAGUUUUAUUUUAAUGAGUUUUCUUCAGGGACUCAGAUCAUAGAGUUCUUGGCAAAUUCAUUUAUUACUGUCCUACUUUUCUCAGCUAUAAGCAAAGUGAUCUUUCUCAGACUAGGUUAAGAUUUUUUUUUUAAAUCCAAAGCAUUUUGACCAAGAAAACAAUCAUGUUUUUAAAUGGUAGCAUGUUAUUUUAGAUCAAUGAAAUUUGAGAAUUUUCCUUAUAGCAGGGAAAAACUAUUAUCUUUCUAGAAUUUUUACACAUAUCAGCACUUUUCCAAUGACAAUAUUAAAUACUAAUGCUUGAAUCACAGUAUUUUGCAGGAGUAGGUCAGCAACAGAGCUUUUCCCUAAAGCACAGAUUACCAGCCCUUUAGUCUGUUUAUAAAAAGCAACAUGAGAAGAACAAUCUGGGUCUUUCUGUAAAGCAUUAUCUUAAAAUUUGGAUCUGAGAUUUUUUUUUUCUUUUGUCUUUUGUCUUUUGUCUUUUUUAGGGCCCCACCCGUUGCAUAUGGAGAUUUCCAGGCUAAGGGUCCAAUCAGAGCUGAAGCCGCUGGCCUGCGCCACAGCCACAGCAGUGCCAGAUCUGAGCCACAUCUGUGACCUACUCCACAGCUCACACCAAUGCUGGAUCCUUAACCCACUGAACAAGGCCAGGGAUCGGACCCAUGUCCUCAUGGAUGCUUCUUGGGUUUGCUAACCGCUGAGCCACAACAGAAACUCCCUGGAUCUGAGAUUCUUUUGAACUCUGGCUAAUAUUGACCAGAACAUGCCCUCUGUGUCAUUUUAUGUAAAGUCUCUUUGGAAAAAGCUUACAAUUCUAGGAAUGUAUUUCCAUUUUUGGUUUCACCCUUACUCCCACUUUCUAUAAAUUGACCUUGAUUUUCCUUUUUUCAGAGGGUCACCUAUACAGAAGGUAAAAGCAUACCUAAUACAAACAUAAUUCAAUACAUAAAUGAAUUUGCCCAGAAUUAAUGAUAAUCUCAAUGAGUGUGUUGUUUUGAUAUGUAGGCAGAGGGGUUUUGGGGUUUUUUUUGUUUGUUUGUUUGUUCGUUUUUUAACCUGUCUCCAAGAAGAGUGGGAUUCAGGAGGGGAAGAAGGAAUGUGAAAGACAGGGCAGGUCAUAAUUCAAACAAUGACAAGAGAGCUCUUGUAUAGUAUAACUCUGAGAAUUUUCAUAGGGGUUUUAGGGAUUAGCAACUGUAGUUGUUUAAACAAGUGAAACAUUCAUAGCUUCAAGUUUAUGAGGUGUUUAAAAAUCGCUAUGACUAACAAUGUAUUUUUCCCUUGUCAGAAGAGUCAACUGAGACUAGCUUCCAGGCCCCAUGGCAUAGCCAUAAGCAGCUCAGACUUUUAUAAUGCAUGUCCUUUCAUCCCUCUCUGAGAAGGCCAUACCUCACACUCUCUCUGACAGAUGGCAAUGCAUGUUCUUCUAUAUUCUUAGCCUCUUUGACUGUGAUUCAUUUUGUACAUCACUUGCUUUCCAUAUGGUCCUCUUGAGAAAGAGAACAUCUCUCAAAUAUGAUGCCAACAAGAGUAUGACAACCAUGUAGUUCAGUCUCAAUCAAAUUUCCAUCUGGACUAAAACUCUGAAGGUUGAAAAUUGUGUUUUAUUCACCCCGCAUGCAUUGAGAUAGGCCUGUGAAGAACCCUUUUCUACUCUGUGCUGUAAUACAGGCACAGGGAGGAAUCCCUUCAAAUAUGGACAAACUCUGCCCGCUGAUAGGACUUCAUCUUGGCCCUAACCAGACGCAAAUGUAUGAUGUCAGGCCAACCCAAACCAUCCCAUUGUUUUCAAGUGUGAAGCAUAUGGAAGAUCCUUCAGCCAAAGACUGAAUUCAAGCAGGAGCUGUGACCGACACCACAGGUGCAGCAAUACCCGGUCCUCAACCCACUCUGCCAUAGCGGGAACUCUUAGCCAUGGAGUUCUGCUCUUUGCAAAACAAGUCCUCACACCUUGAGGCUGCCAGCAGUCUCUUCCACCUCCUUAUAGACUAUUCUGUGUAGUCCUGCCUUCUGGGAAACAAGCAGCGAUUGCAGAGAGUAAAGAGAUUCCCAGCCUGUCCCAUGUGGAUGAGACCACUAGACGCAGGUUGAUAAUGACUUCGGUUAGAGAGAAAAUGGAGAAGUGAGCAGCUCCAGAGCUCUGGAAGUGUCUUCAAAGAGGGGAAAGGAGAGGAAAGACACCCAUCAAUUGUGCCUUGGGAAGCUCAGAAGACACCCUUCUUCCUGCUGGAGUGUGGCAGAUUCUGGAGAAUCAAAAUGGUCUAACCCAAGCCUUUCUGUUCCAGUACUCCCCCCACUCAUUCUCUCCUUCCAAAACAUUGGACUGUAUCAGCCCGUGCCUCACCCAAGCUUCCCAGGCUGCGGGCCCCAUUAGUGUCUACUCAGCUCCUCUCUCCCACAGCCAGUCUGGUGGCAGGAGGGGCCAACUGUCCUCUGCUACAUUCCGAGAAAGCCUGUGAUCCUUGGGCAAAGAAGGAUCUCCCCAUCUGAGAUUUUGCUCCUUUCUCUGCAAGAAGCUGGACGCCUUCAUAGGCAGGCACGGUGCCCCUCGGAAAAUCAACCGAAGCCCCUGCCAGCUGUAGGACUCUCUUUCCUCAGGGUGUGAGUCACUUCUAUGACCUCUGAGUUUCCACCAGGUUCAGGGUCAAAGGAAAAGCCAGUACCCACAGGGCCUUUUGGCUCCCUGGGAAUUGUAGGAUGAAGGAUUCAUUAUAAGGCGAGAUGAUUGCCUUUUUCUUUUCAACUGUGAUUGGUGGCCCAGAAACCACAGCCAUCAAAUACACAGGCUCUGCUAAAUCAUCACUAUUUCAGCUACUAAUUAGGACUAAUGUUCACAGCAGAGGAGUCUGCGGGGGCAAUAAACCCCUCCUUCAAGUGGUUAAACUUGCAAGCAGACACACUUUGAUGACCACAAGAGCUGUUCCUUGGGAAGGGUGCUCCCUGGUAACAGCAUCCCCAAAACACGGCUCCAUGAAUGGAGGAUCAGUAGCCUAGAAAUCUGGGUGUCCAAGGCACCCUGUGUCCCCUGGCCAGACCCCUGUUCUGCCACCAGUUCUAUCAAGAUGUCUUCGGCAGCCACGUCCACAACAAAGUGAAUGGCAGGUUCCUUGGGUCAGGGUCAGCUGCAGGAUGACACUGCCCAAAGGCUCGGGCUGUGAAGGGAGAAUGACUAGAAGCACAGCUGGGGAGACAGUCACCUGCUGCUUCUGGGGUUUAGAGUUCCCUGCCCCUGGGCCCCCAGUUAAAGGAGUGAGUUUAGAGAAAGGCACCACGGUGCUGAGGACACAUGGGCCAUGGUGCUAAAUACUUUCACGUGAGUUGUCUCAUAGCAGACAUAGAGGUAUUUGGGUGUUCCCUUCAGUGGUUUGUGAGGUUUCGGGUUCAAUCCCUGGCCUCGCUCAGUGGGUUAAGGAUCCAGUGUUGCUGUGAGCUGUGGUGUAGGUCGCAGACGCAGCUCAGAUCCUGCAGCUGUGGUGUAGGCCGGCAGCUACAGCUCCAAUUAGAUCUCUAGCCUGGAAACUUCUAUAUGGCCCUAAAAAUCCCUCCCCUCCCCCCAAAAAGAAAAGAAAUAGAGGUAUUUGCUCCAGAUCUUUUUUAGAAGUAUUCUCUUCACGUAUUUUGCAAAAACAAAGAAAAACUACACAGGAACUACAUGCUCACUGUAGACCAAGUGAAAAAUAAAAGCAAGCAAGCAAGAAAGUUUAUUAUUCCAUAAGCCCAUCACCCAGAGGAGGGUUUCUCGACCUUAGCUCGGCUGACAUAGCUAACAGUGCUCUGCUGCGGGGGCAGCCUGUGCAUUGCAGGAUGUUUAGCAGCAUCCCUGGCCUCUUCUACCCACAAGAUGCCAGUAACACACUAUCUCCCCAGCCCUGCAAUUGGAACAACAAAUAGGUCACCAGGCAUUGCCCUAUACCCGCAACCGCAAAAUUACUCUCAUUAAAAACCGAAACUCUAGAGAUAAUCAGUAAUGCCAUUUUCCAGCCCUUUUUCCUUGCCUAUAAACAAGUGAUACAUAUUUUAAUGGAGUUGAAUAUAUUGUUUUGUAUUUUCAUUUUUCACUUAAGCAAAGAUCUUGAACAUUGGCCCAUGUUGAUAUCUGUUCUGCAAUAGCCUCUCAAACCCUUCAUUGUGCUCCACUGCAAAUUGUAACAUGAUGUCUUUCAUCCUCGGUAUUAUUUCCAAGGAUAGUAAGAAUAUUAAAGGAAAAACCAAAUUAUUGUCCCUCUUUUGGCUUCUAAAAUGGGAAGCAGUUGGAAUAAUGCAUAUGUAUGGGGACAAAAAUCUUUCUAUUGUGACUUUCCAUUUAUAGCCACCACUGGGGAGCAAGAAAGGGAGAGAAAUUUCAAGUUAAGACUCUGCUAUGCUGUUAGUGGGUAAGAUACCAAGUAGAGUCCAUUCAUAAGCCUCUGGUUAGUGUGGGUUGGGAACUGAGGAACAGAGAGCCAGAUGAAUUUGAAACAUAUAAGGGAAGGGACAUAGCCUGGGAGUGGGUAGUUGAAGAGGAGGCCAAGAAUGAGGGAUCCUGGAAAAGAGAGAGGAGAGUUGAUGGAAAGAGGCUUAGAAUGGGGUGGGAUGGGGUUGGGGUAUGUGCUGAGAAAGGUAUUUAGUUGUCUGCUCAACAUCAAACCUUUCCCUGUCCAAACCCUUAGGAAAACCUGACCACACGCCUUGCUGUGUCCUCUUUGCCAAGGUACAUGGGGGAAUGAAAGGCAUUUGGGGUGGAUUUUAUUAUGCAGAAAAGGGGCAGUGGGGGCAGAUGUAAAAUACAGAUCAGGGAUGGAGAAUGAAAUAGAUUUUGUAGGCAGAGUCAAUUCGGAAAAUGAGAACCGUCAGAAACAUUGGGAUCAGGGUUACAGGGUUUUCCCUGCACAUGAGAUGAGCACCUGAGACAACUUGUUUAAAUAUUUAAGGCCAAAGUGACCUCAGCAGAGAAAGGACUUAAGGAAUAUCCAGUCUCAGCAGACACUUAAAUUACAUUCCUUUUUUUUUUUUGCUCUCACAAAUAGUACACAGAAUACCAUUAUAGGAGUUCCCAUUGUUGGCACAAUGGAAAAGAACCUGACUAGUAUCCAUGAGGACUCGGGUUCAAUUCCUAGCCUCACUUGGUGGCUUAAGGAUCUGGCAUUUCCGUGAGCUGUGGCAGCAGAUGAGGCUUAGAUCUGGCUUUGCUGUGGCUGUGGUGUAGGCCAGCAACUGCAGCUCCGAUUUGACCCCUAUCCUGGGAGUUUCCAUAUGCCCCAGGUGCAAGC
rnacentral:lncRNA from 1 species